rnacentral:rRNA from 1 species
GUGGGGAAUUUUGGACAAUGGGCGAAAGCCUGAUCCAGCCAUGCCGCGUGCAGGAUGAAGGCCUUCGGGUUGUAAACUGCUUUUGUACGGAACGAAAAGACUCCUUCUAAUAAAGGGGGUCCAUGACGGUACCGUAAGAAUAAGCACCGGCUAACUACGUGCCAGCAGCCGCGGUAAUACGUAGGGUGCAAGCGUUAAUCGGAAUUACUGGGCGUAAAGCGUGCGCAGGCGGUUAUAUAAGACAGAUGUGAAAUCCCCGGGCUCAACCUGGGAACUGCAUGUGUGACUGUAUAGCUAGAGUACGGUAGAGGGGGAUGGAAUUCCGCGUGUAGCAGUGAAAUGCGUAGAUAUGCGGAGGAACACCGAUGGCGAAGGCAAUCCCCUGGACCUGUACUGACGCUCAUGCACGAAAGCGUGGGGAGCAAACAGGAUUAGAUACCCUGGUAGUCC